GUGGAAACUUCUGGAUGCCUGCUCUUGUGAGUUCACCUCUAUGUCUACUCUACUGAGGCCUCUCCAUACAGGUCUCAGUUUCCUGCCUUCCUGGGAAGUGGGGAAAGGCUGAGAGGCCCCGUGCUGGGGGUGAAGCUAAUUCAUUAGUUACGCCUCAACAAGGACCGGGUGCCUGCAGUGCCAGCGUGAUUCAUCAUGAUGAUUGCCCCACUGCCAGCCUGCGUGGGCCUGGAACGCCAGCACAUUUUACCUUUACCCACUGAGAAGGGCCUGGUGGGAGGUGAAGGUACAGGAUCUGCCGAGAGCAAGAAAAAGACUCUGAGAAAGAAGAGGGCUGGUCCUCCAUGCUCUCGGCCCCAGGAAGCUCUGCCAGGCUGGUGCCGGGGUGGAGAGGCUCAUGUGGGCUCAUGUGGUGCUGCCUGUGCUGAUGGAGCCCAAGAGGGCAGCCUGGCGCUGGGUGCCAGCCUGAGCAUGUGGCGAGGCUGGGCUGCUGAGCCUCCUCCUCCACAGCCAAUGUUCCCUCAAACUGCUUGGGGGUGGGGGGAGGGACUCAUCCUCAUCCCAUUAGCCUGGCUGGGUAUUCCCUACCUUUCUGGUCUCUGAGAGACUUACCUCUUCCAAGAAGUCCUCCCGAAUGAGUAGAAGGGAGAGAGCUGGAUUGGAACUUAAGUGACAUCUGGGAGGAGCCUGAAGCCCCUCCGGUUGGGGCUGAGACUCCUAUACCCUAGGUCUGGUGUCUGGGUUCCACCUGGGUCCUCUACCUUGGCCUGGAUUCCUGCUUUCGUUUUGCCAGUCUCUCCCAGGAUGGGGGUGCAUGGCUGGUUCGUGGCUCAGAGCAACAUCUGCCUCUGUGUCCCCCCAUCAUCUGUCCGCCCCCUAACACCUCUUGCCAUAUUAGAAUUGCUAUUGCUCUGUCCUUUCAUUCAUGUAUCCAACAAAUAUAUAUUAUCUGAAAAAAAGC
rnacentral:lncRNA from 1 species